rnacentral:rRNA from 1 species
UGCUAUACAUGCAGUCGAACGCACAGCGAAAGGUGCUUGCACCUUUCAAGUGAGUGGCGAACGGGUGAGUAACACGUGGACAACCUGCCUCAAGGCUGGGGAUAACAUUUGGAAACAGAUGCUAAUACCGAAUAAAACUUAGUAUCGCAUGAUACCAGGUUAAAAGGCGCUACGGCGUCACCUAGAGAUGGAUCCGCGGUGCAUUAGUUAGUUGGUGGGGUAAAGGCCUACCAAGACAAUGAUGCAUAGCCGAGUUGAGAGACUGAUCGGCCACAUUGGGACUGAGACACGGCCCAAACUCCUACGGGAGGCUGCAGUAGGGAAUCUUCCACAAUGGGCGAAAGCCUGAUGGAGCAACGCCGCGUGUGUGAUGAAGGCUUUCGGGUCGUAAAGCACUGUUGUAUGGGAAGAAAAGUUAAGGUAGGGAAUGACCUUAGCCUGACGGUACCAUACCAGAAAGGGACGGCUAAAUACGUGCCAGCAGCCGCGGUAAUACGUAUGUCCCGAGCGUUAUCCGGAUUUAUUGGGCGUAAAGCGAGCGCAGACGGUUGGUUAAGUCUGAUGUGAAAGCCCGGAGCUCAACUCCGGAAAGGCAUUGGAAACUGGUUAACUUGAGUGCAGUAGAGGUAAGUGGAACUCCAUGUGUAGCGGUGGAAUGCGUAGAUAUAUGGAAGAACACCAGCGGCGAAGGCGGCUUACUGGACUGUAACUGACGUUGAGGCUCGAAAGUGUGGGUAGCAAACAGGAUUAGAUACCCUGGUAGUCCACACCGUAAACGAUGAACACUAGGUGUUAGGAGGUUUCCGCCUCUUAGUGCCGAAGCUAACGCAUUAAGUGUUCCGCCUGGGGAGUACGACCGCAAGGUUGAAACUCAAAGGAAUUGACGGGGACCCGCACAAGCGGUGGAGCAUGUGGUUUAAUUCGAAGCACGCGAGACCUUACCAGU